rnacentral:rRNA from 1 species
GGGUUGUGAGGUUAAGCGACUAAGCGUACACGGUGGAUGCCCUGGCAGUCAGAGGCGAUGAAGGACGUGCUAAUCUGCGAUAAGCGUCGGUAAGGUGAUAUGAACCGUUAUAACCGGCGAUUUCCGAAUGGGGAAACCCAGUGUGAUUCGUCACACUAUCAUUAACUGAAUCCAUAGGUUAAUGAGGCGAACCGGGGGAACUGAAACAUCUAAGUACCCCGAGGAAAAGAAAUCAACCGAGAUUCCCCCAGUAGCGGCGAGCGAACGGGGAGGAGCCCAGAGCCUGAAUCAGUGUGUGUGUUAGUGGAAGCGUUUGGAAAGGCGCGCGAUACAGGGUGACAGCCCCGUACACAAAAAUGCACAUGCUGUGAGCUCGAUGAGUAGGGC